UGGCUUCAUGCCAGUGUGCGUGGCAGCGUGGCGCGUAGCAAGUGGCGCCUGAAUUGUCAGGGCGCAGGCUGUGGCCGUGUACAGUGUGGGCAUGCGCGGUGUCGGAAUGCGGUCGACCUGCGUGUUCAGCCGUUCAGCGCCCACUGGCUAGCGGCUGGCGGCUAGCGGGGCGUACAACAUCUUCGGUCCAGAUGUCACAUGCGUCGCCAGCUCCAUCAGUCCAUCGCAGUUUGUUUGCCCCGAGACCCCGAGACCCAUCUGCCGAAGGCUCCUGAAUGGCGGGAUGCCCUCUUGGGCUGCCCCAACACGCGAAAGGCUAUGCGUUGUGCUCCCCCAGGAACCUAGGUAAGAAUGACAUGGACAGGCUGCCAACCGCACUGGUAUACAUCGUCUACGUUAGGAUGACCUAGGCCUACGCGGGUCAUAAAAGCCAAAACGUUAGCCAGUCAUGGGACAUGCAGGCGAGCGGAAGUCAUGCACUUCGCAUCUCGGCCCGUAAGCCUUGAUUGAACGACAUUUAUGUGGCUUAGUAAAGCUCAACACAAUGUGAUCCACUUAAGGCAGGCGCUUUAGGCACCAUUACUUGGUGCGCGUCGAAAAACACAGCCAUCGCCACCUGCUGUGAAGCAACAGAUAUAUGUAUACAAAUCAUACAAAUUGGACGAAAGCCUGAAGCGUUCCAGGCUGCAGCUGCGAAUCAACACAGUCAACUACAUUGCAUAUGCCCACAUGGUCCAGCCUUGGAAUUUUUGCUUUGUACAGCUCAUACUCUUAGGGAUUCUACUGACGGCCUCGGCUUGAGUGAUUGGUGCCACUCCGUUGUCAAAGCAUAGCAUGUGACGCUGUACUCCUCGCUUAUUUGCAUUGGGUUUGGGCUCAUUUCGGUUUCGGGUUGGGUUCGGCGGGCAAACUCCCCCUCCCCCCUCCCCCCACACACCCAGGUGUUCCUGCACCCCAGCUCUGUGCUGCUGGAGCGCAAGCCCGACUGCCUGGUGUUCAACGAGCUGAUGCACACCACCCGCACCUACGCCCGAGACGCCACAGCCAUAGAGGCGCGCUGGCUGCCCGAGCUGGCGCCCGCCUUCUUCGCAGCCAAGGCCAGCGCCGCCACCGCGGGGGUCAGCGCGGCCGGGGCGGCGCGGUGACGAGGCUGAGGGGGUGAGGGGCUCGCAUGGGGUUGGUGGCACCAGGUGCAGCGCACUUGCAUGGGCCGUGAGCAUAGCCGCGCGCUAUGGGGUGAGGGCAGGGAAGGGUCGGAGGAGGAGGGGAGGAGAGGCAGGAUGCAGUGCGACGGUCCGCGGCGUUGCGGGCGUCGGCUGGUUGCGUGCGGUGUCGGGCAGUCUGCCGGGUGGACGGUGGCUUCAUGCCAGUGUGCGUGGCAGCGUGGCGCGUAGCAAGUGGCGCCUGAAUUGUCAGGGCGCAGGCUGUGGCCGUGUACAGUGUGGGCAUGCGCGGUGUCGGAAUGCGGUCGACCUGCGUGUUCAGCCGUUCAGCGCCCACUGGCUAGCGGCUGGCGGCUAGCGGGGCGUACAACAUCUUCGGUCCAGAUGUCACAUGCGUCGCCAGCUCCAUCAGUCCAUCGCAGUUUGUUUG
rnacentral:lncRNA from 1 species